GUUGCACCCAGCCAACAGGCUGGGUGAGGAUUGAAAC
rfam:Clostridium ultunense Esp genomic scaffold, CTLT_3033